UACGUAGGGUGCGAGCGUUGUCCGGAAUUAUUGGGCGUAAAGAGCUCGUAGGCGGUUCGUCGCGUCGGCUGUGAAAUCCCGAGGCUCAACCUCGGGUCUGCAGUCGAUACGGGCGGACUGGAGUACUGCAGGGGAGACUGGAAUUCCUGGUGUAGCGGUGAAAUGCGCGGAUAUCAGGAGGAACACCGGUGGCGAAGGCGGGUCUCUGGGCAGUUACUGACGCUGAGGAGCGAAAGCGUGGGGAGCGAACAGG
rnacentral:rRNA from 1 species